CUUUAGGUGAGCUUAUUGCUACCCAUCUACGUUCAUUUGUAUGCUGGAACAGUCUGACGAGCCUCCUGUUGUUCCCAGUACAAUUUGUGUCAGCCAACCAGACCAAGCACGCUGAAAAUGAAAGGCAGCAUGUAACCUUCUGAAGUCACUAAUUGUAGUACUGCAGGCAGAAGAACAGAGGGAGUACAGACAUCUCAGGACUAAGACCAAGACAGAGAGACUCCAAACCAGUGAUUUGAGAGCCCCGCGACGCAGCCUGCUACAGGAACGGGGACUUCUCUGGAACACUGGCGUGCGCAGGGAUUAAUCCCGCCGUAGAGAGCCAGCCUGGCCUUUGAAGUGUUACAAGGGAAAGGAGGAGGUAAGUGUCGAGGCGAGCCCCCAGCCCCCCUCCCCGCCCCCGGGCAGCGUGCGGCGGCCCGCAAAGGGUUAAAGGCCGCCUUGGCCCGGCGGUGCCGUG
rnacentral:lncRNA from 1 species